AUUGAACGCUGGCGGCAUGCUUUACACAUGCAAGUCGAACGGUAACAGGCCGCAAGGUGCUGACGAGUGGCGAACGGGUGAGUAAUGCAUCGGAACGUGCCCAGUCGUGGGGGAUAACGCAGCGAAAGCUGCGCUAAUACCGCAUACGAUCUAUGGAUGAAAGCGGGGGACCGUAAGGCCUCGCGCGAUUGGAGCGGCCGAUGUCAGAUUAGGUAGUUGGUGGGGUAAAGGCUCACCAAGCCGACGAUCUGUAGCUGGUCUGAGAGGACGACCAGCCACACUGGGACUGAGACACGGCCCAGACUCCUACGGGAGGCAGCAGUGGGGAAUUUUGGACAAUGGGCGCAAGCCUGAUCCAGCAAUGCCGCGUACAGGAAGAAGGCCUUCGGGUUGUAAACUGCUUUUGUACGGAACGAAACGGUCUGGGUUAAUACCCUGGGCUAAUGACGGUACCGUAAGAAUAAGCGCCGGCUAACUACGUGCCAGCCGCCGCGGUAAGAC
rnacentral:rRNA from 1 species